AAGUGAUUUUUGUCAGGAAAAUUUGCGUUACAAUCUUUUUCCGUAUAUUCAAAAUUAGCGCUGAAACAAAUAAAGUUGAAAAUAAUUUUUCACUUUCUAUUAACGCUUUAAAUAUUAAUUAAUACCUUUUAUUGUUUGUUGUUUUAUUUUUUAGUUCUUUAUGAAUAAGAUUAAUUAUAAAUUGAUAUUAGUCAAAACCCCGUUUAUAAAAUACAAAAUGUAACGCUGGUCAGGGGAAGUAAUUGUUGCGGUCUAUGAUUUUGUUUGUUGUCUAUGAUUAUCGUUCGUGCAAAUGGUGGCGCUGUUUGGAAAAUUUGAAAAACAACACGAUUGGCAAUUUAUUUGGAUUUCGAAGAUCCUGGUCCUGGUUGGAAUUUAGAGUAUUGCAGCUGUAGCCUGUAUACCAUACAUUCAACAUGAAAAGGACUGUCAGGAUGCUGCAUAAAAUGGUCUUAGCUAGAGCCUAGAAUGUUAAUUUCUUGGGAAUAUGCUGACCAAUCAUAGAAGCAGUAAGAGACAGCCUAAGAAGUACUCAAACACUUGACAUACCCAGAAAGAUCUAGAAGAAAAGAUUGGAACAUAUUGUAGUUUUAAAGUGAAUUUAAGCUGCACUUCAACUGUAUUUUUGAAAUAAAAUAUCUGAAGUAUUUAA